rnacentral:misc_RNA from 1 species
GGGUCUCGGGUACACUUGGGAGGGAGGCCCUCCUUCACCACACUCACAGCACUGUCGUGUCUGCAAACGCGGAUAAGCCUACCAGCACCAACACCAACACCAACACACACACACACACAUACACACGCGUAGACGAACAACAACAAAGAAAAGCAGCGCGAGCGGAGAGAAAAGAGCGCGAGCGGUGAUAGAGCGAGAUAAUAGAGGGAAUGUGAGAAAGCCAGCCAACGGGAGACACUCGCCUUUCGGCUCUUUGAUACAGUCAAUUGUUUUUGUCAUUCUACCCCCACCCCUCCCCCUCCUCCCACUCGUCUUUUUCGUCCUUUGUCCAGCUGCAACUCCGUCCCCUUGAGGAUUUAGAUUAACGUCCGCAUACACAAACACACAUACACAUACAGGCGCUCCUGCUUCCCUCCCUCUCCCCCUCCUCCUCUCCUCCCCCCCCUUUUCGUUUCCCUUCGCCGCCGCCACCGCAAGCUCCCAUCAGCCACUCAAGCACACACACACACACACACACAGUUCUCGUUCUCUAUCGUUGAGAGUUUAUUUUUUUUGGCUGUCGUCGCGUGUUCUUGUUGUGCUUUUCCUCGCCCGUUUUAUUGUUGGCUUGCAUCUUCAUUGACACACUCUCUCUCCUUCUCUCAUUAUUUUUAUUAGUCUCCUGUUCCUUUCCUUCCUUACUCCCCUCACCCCUCCGUCUCUUCCCUUUCUUCCCUUCCUAGAGUCAUUCCUUACGUACCAAAGAUAGACGCAGUGCUACGUGUGCGUGUGCGUGUGCGUGUGCGUGUGCGUUUACGUCAUCUAGAGGCACACCAGUGUGAGGCGAAGGGGGAGGAGGAGAAGGUGUGCGGGUGGAGUAGGGGGGACAGAGCACACGCUUACACAUACGCAUAGACAACCGGCUACGACAGCGACGCGCGCACGCAGAACAGGCGUGCCAUCGCUUUUUUUCGUUCGCCUCUUCUCUUUGUGUGCGUGUGCGUGCGCGUCUUGCGCAUCUCACGGUGCGAGUGCAUAAACACUGACCGCUCUCGAGGUCGUUGGGCAGCGAAGACGCGAAGGCAGCGCGUCCGUGUCUCGCACCCGCUUUCGGUUUUCCGGUCUCUCGGCAGGCGUUUUUUUUUUUGCUUUUGAGGAUGUCGUAUCAGCAGCUGCAGGGUGCGGCCAGUAGCUCCAGCGGUGGGAGCGGGGCACGUGGCCGACAGCCCUCAGCUCAGCAGCGGCACGCGCAGCAAUCAGCGUUGGCGACAUCGUCUCCUUCGCCACCUCCACUCCGAUCGGACGGUAGAACGGCCGCCGCCGCCGCAGGGUCUGCUUCAUUGGUGACGUCCUCACCGCGUAUCAGCACUGCACCCAGGCACGUGGACACGUCGGCCAGCGGCGCUGGAUUCCGGCAUUCAAGCAGUGCGAGUGGUGGUCCUGCCUACGACCAGCCCGGCUCGGCGCAUUUGCCUGUGCGACACCAUCACCACCACACACAGCCGUCACGACAACAGAAACUUCAGCUCCCGUCGUCGUCCUUGGCUCGGAGCGCUGGCGUAAGCGGCCCUUCCAUCACCGCCUCUUCCUCUAUGGGUAGCGCACCGUACGCUUCGCCACUGCCUACCGUGGGGGCCAGCUUACCCACUGACCCCCCUACAGCUGCAGCCGUGGCAAGCGGGGCUAUACCAGUGGGCAGCAGCUACGCCUACUGGCGCGGUGCAAGUGGGGUUGGUGGGCCUAGUGAUCGGCGGCGGCGUAGCGGUAGUGGUCGAAGCGGCGGCGGUGGCGGUGGCGGUGGUGGCAGUCGCCGCAACGGUUCCCCAGGGCCCCGGCACCACACGUCACAAGCGCAGUACCUGCAGCAGCGACCGCGUGCCGAUGCCUCAUCAGCUCCCUCGUCGGAGCAUCCUGCAGCUUCUUCGGUGCCUGAGACCGCCGCUGCUCUGGUGACAAGUCCACCGUCGACCCUGCCGGACAAUUGCAGCGCGGCGUCGUCCCCGUCAUGGCCCCAACCACCGCCGCCGCCGCCUUCAGCAACAUCGGCAGUCUCCGCCCCGUUGGCGAGCAGCGGCGUCCCGCUCGUCUCCAGCCAUGCCGGCCAGCCAUCCCGCAGAGGCGGAAACGGUGGCGCCUCCUCGCCACGCUCCAGCGCAGCCGCUGCUCCAGCAAUAAUGGCGGGAAGUGGCGGAGGUGGCGCCGCAGCAGGCGGCAGUGCUUCAAGUAUGCCACCGCCUCCGUCGGCAUCUGGCGCAGCGACCUCAGCGACAGCAGGAGCGGCAUCCACUUCGCAGAAAGUUCAAGGCACAGCGGGCGGCGGUUUGUCACUUGCCUCUGCCACAAGUGUGCGACUCAUGCGCCCCAACGGCGAGGAGCGGCCGACAGUGGCCCUCUCACAGAACAUCAUGUCCGUCUACGAAGCCAUCAACACCCUCUUCUACCAGGAGCGCCAGCUGCUGCUGACGGCGCCGGCCAAGUACGCGGCGCGCAAGUACGAGGACGCCGCGGGGCACUACUUGCCGUACCCCGGCGAAGAGAUCGCGGAGCGGUACGUGGUGAGGGAGGUGAUCGGCAAGGGCAGCUUCGGCACUGUGUUGCACUGCGUUGACCAAAAGUACCACGAGGCUGUCGCCGUCAAGGUGAUCCGCAGCGGCCCCUACUUUGAGAGCCAGGGCUGGUUUGAGGCGCAGGUAGUGGCGCACCUGAACAACGACCCGGCGCUGCAGAACCUCGUCGUGCAGCUGCGCAAGGUCUUCUUGUGGAAGGGUCAUAUGGUGCUGGUCUUUGAGCCGCUCAGUUUCAGUCUCUACCGCCUCAUCACAUUGACGAAGUACAACGGCGUCAGCCUCGACCUCACCCGCAAGUUCGCCUACCAGAUGAUCAAGGUGCUGCUGGUGCUGGAGCAGCAUCAGCCACCCAUCAUUCACUGCGACCUGAAGCCGGAGAACGUGCUACUGCGCGACCCGAGCCGCAGCGAGGUGCGCGUAAUCGACUUUGGCUCCGCGUGCUACCAGCAACAGCAAAAAUGGAGCCCGCCACCGGCGCAGGUGGUGCUGCCCUCGACGUCGCCGAGCAGCUCGCCAGGGCCGCCCUGGGACUCGGUUGCUGAAGGCCCCAGUGGCGGGGUCAAGCCCACCGCCGCCGCCGAUGAUGAUGACAGUAGCGCGCCGCAGUCGCCGCCCAAAGGGCCGCAGCAACGACACCAGGCGACUGCAGGGUCGACCACCGCAUCUGUCGAUGCGGCGCUGGCAAGCGGCGUCGCAGCACCAACCGCUGAGGGGGCAGACACGGUGGAGAAAGCCAGUGACGCGGCCCCCGCUGCCGCGGCGGCGGCCGGAACCGCCACUGGUGACAACAGGAGAGGGGAUAUUAUCAUGCCCAAGUACAUCCAGUCGCGCUACUACCGCAGCCCGGAGGUCAUCCUGGAGCUUGGCUACACAACGGCGAUUGACCGCUGGUCCCUUGGCUGCUUCCUGGUGGAGAUGCACACGGGGGUGCCCCUCUUCCCCGGCAAAAACGAGGGAGACAUGGUAGCAUACUUCACGUCCAUCCUCGGUCCGCUGCCAGACUACAUGAUUGCAGCAAGCCCCAAGCGGACGCAGCUUUAUUAUACGUGCCAUUCAGAGCCCUCCACCAAAAGCGGCGGCGGCGAGCUGGCGCACGGUGUCGCCACCGCCGGCGCUGGCCCCGCAGAAGAUGCCCCACCGGGGCUCACUCCGAUGUCCAGCGCACCAGGUCACGCCAUGGGCUCUCCUUUCUUCCUACGGGCCCCCCGAGUGGAGGGCGAGGGUGCGGCAGCCGCUGCUGUGCCCGGCAGUGGCAGCAACAGCCCGCCGCUCUCUCUGGAAGAAAUUCUUGGCGUGCACAAGGGCGGCCCGCGCGGCUGCCGCGCUGGCCAGCCGGGCCACGAUGAGUCUGCCUACGAAGUCUUUUGCGACUUUAUCCACAAGCUGCUCCAGUACGAUCCGCGGAAGCGCGUGAGUUGCCAGCAGGCGAUCCAGCACCCUUUCCUAGAGCCGAUCCGGGCCCUCAAAUCCCGCUCCGCUGCGCCACCGUCGGCAGCCCCGGGCACCGGCGGCGGCAACACGGAGGCGGGAAGUGCACCGCCUCCGCCAUUGCCAGGGCCUCCGCAGUAGAGCGGGGCCAAACCACACGCGUGCGCGCAGUCUUUGCGCUCAGAAGACUGGCACCUUCCCCAGCCGAUUACUGGCCAUCUCUCCUCCCUCCUUCCCUCGCUGUUGGUCUGUUUACGUUGCUCAUGCGAUGCCGAUGCACUGUUGAUCGUUUCCCUCACCCUCUCUCUCUCCCCCGCUGCCUCUGUCACGUGUUUGUUUAUCUUCCGAAGCUGGAGUUGCACGCGCUUGUGCAAGCAGCGCUGCAAAGAGGAGGGGGCUCACGCGCCGCUUAUCCAGUCCGUGGUGUUCACCUCGUAUCACCCCUCUCGGCGCAGCCUGCCGGCUGGCCUGCGUGCGGGCGGGCGGUUUGUACGCGUUCAUGUGUAUCCCGACGUUGGUGCAACGGCUCAUGUACUACUACUACGACAACUAUCAACCCUUUGUGUGUGCGUGUGUGUGUCUUUGUGCUUCCCAUCUUUUUGUUUACUCGGUGGUGGUGGUGGUUCUUGUCUUCCUCUGGCGAGAGACGCCGUCCUGUGUGCCUUCCCCACCACCACCUCGACUUAUUUCGUCUCUCGGCUCAUGCCUCCCUUCGCCCUCGGCACUGACUCGGCCUGCGUCUGCCCAUGCACGCGUUUGAGAGGUGUUGGCACCCCCGUGCCCCCCCCCCACACACCCACACACCUCCCUCUGUCUCUCUCCCUUCUGUGCGGUCGUUCUGCGCGCAGGAGUGAGAACGCAGAGCACGAGCAGACGCCGGAUCCCAAGCGUCGGAGGACAACGAACCUCAACGCCGUACAACGACUGCAAGAAAAAAAGGACGAACCAUAAGUCGGCCGUGCAACGCCGCGUUCCCUCCUCUCUGUGUGUGCCGUCGGCAGAUCCACCUUCACCUGCCGCUCUCGGGGGGGGGGGGGGGGGGCAUGCGCGUGUCACUUCAACGAGCGCGUGGCUCAGUGCUGUUGCCGCUUCGCCUCUCUUUGUGUUGCGAGGAAUGACUUGGUUUCCACCGCCCCCUCCUCCCUCAUCGCAAGCUCACAGACUCUACACAAGAGGUGGGGGGGGGGGGGGUUGAAACCCCCACCCUCUGUGUGUGGCGUGCAAGAGAUGCGCAUUCCGGCAUCUUCCUCUCCCCAUCGCCAUCCGUCACUCUUGCCGUCUCUGUUCUCUUACUUUCUUUUUUUUUGCAUGUCCGCACGCGUACGCAUACACGGAACCACCUCUACCAUUGCGACCACACGAAUAUAUAUAUAUAUAUACCAUCUACUCGACUUGCACACCUCACUCGUCCGUCAAG